rnacentral:rRNA from 1 species
AUUGAACGCUGGCGGCAGGCCUAACACAUGCAAGUCGAGCGGCUCGGCGGACGCGUGCGUGUUGCCUAGGACUCUGCCUCUUCGUGGUGGAUAACGUCCGCAACCGGGAGCUAAUACCGCAUCCUAUCAGCUUAGGCUAGGGGGGCUUGGCUAGUUGGUGGGGUAAAGGCAUACCCAGGCGACGAUCCGUAACUGGUCUGAGAGGAUGAUCAGUCACACUGGAACUGAGACACGGUCCAGACGCCUACGGGAGGCAGCAGUGGGGAAUAUUGGACAAUGGGCGAAAGCCUGAUCCAGCCAUGCCGCGUGUGUGAAGAAGGUCUUCGGAUUGUAAAGCACUUUAAGUGGGGAGGCGUUACCAACAGAAGAAGCACCGGCUAACUCCGUGCCAGCAGCCGCGGUAAUAC